CAUUUCCACAAAAUCUUAGUACAUUAGAAGUAUUAUUCUCAUGAAUAAAUAACGUUUUAGAAAAUUGUGUUCUGUGAUCAGUAUGAUAUAACAGCGAAUAAACGUAUAAAUUUCAAAAUGUCUAUUAUUUAAAAAUUCCACCGGAUGUGAUCACGCGAAAAUAUCGUUAAGGUGGACGUAUUGGUAGUGUUUUUUGGACAUAUUUCCACUGACAACCUAGAAUAUUAGAGAAAUAUGCUAAGGUUUAGACACAGGAUCUGAAUAGUGUCUAAUGUGCAUGAACCUGGCUUGCUGGCUGGUUGGCAACUUGAUACACUGAAAGCAAACACUUUAAUGACCCCGGUGGCUGAUGUAACCUAACACUAUUUUCCUUCAAAACCGCCGUAUAAUUUGGAAGGCGAAUCACGCAGAUGGACGGAGAUACCAGAUAAGUUCUUCCCGGUUGUAUCUUUAGAGCACGGAACUUACCAACUUUAUUAGGAAAUAACGUGUCCUGUUGUUUUCGUUUCGUGUCAACCUGCCUGAGAUGGAAGCAAUCGUGCCUUGGGCACCAAGUCCAGUCGCAACUACAUAACUCCUAAGCAACAGUUCUCUGACUGCCCACGGAUCGCAUUUUCAGUGUCAUCACUCCUCUGAUUCAAGUAGUUGUUUUGGGGCCAAGGACAAUAAUUGCCAUUAUGUAAAUCACAGAUUUAACACUGACGAGAGUUCUUAUCUGUGCAUCCUUGGAAUGUAAUUAGUAGCUACCACGUUAAUUGUGAGAGUUAAAGGGCCUUUCUGGUCGGUCACGGUAGCCGAGCGGUCUAAGACAUGUACUC